AUCGAAUAUUAUCACGUGGAAAACGGAGUCCCCUUCGUACUUGAAGACUAGGAGGUGACCAUGACCAAUCGAAUAAUGCUCCAUGAAACCUCGCCACCCUUUCCACAACCAAACCUUGCCAUCGUCACUCUUUUCUAGUUUCACCGGCCAGGUCGAACCACCCGGAACCUUGAGAAGCACCAAACCCGAGAGGUCUUUCCCAUAUCUUCUCAAGAAGCUUUUUGGGAUUCCCUGUGAUGAAAAUUUAUGGUAAACCCAUUGCCCUCAUGUAUAGCUAAAUUCAAAGAUGCGAACUAAGAAAAACAGGAAACUUUCACAUUCUACCCUGUAGAUGAACGAUCAAUUUCCACAGACAAUGCCGUCACUAUACAAGUGCGGAGUUCAAUUAUCCAAUAAACGUUCAUUUCCGCAAUAAUAAUGUCCAGAAAUGGUAGCUACGCUAAAGCCAAAUCGCCAAACUAGCAUACUAAUCAAACGCUCAUUUUCAAUUUCCCCUUUUUUUGCAAGAAUUGAACAGUUCUUCGUUGCAAAACCAGAGACAUCCAUGACGAACCAGCACGAGCUGCGAGAGGCGGAGGGCAAGAUCGCAAAUGUCGCGAAAAUGAAUGAUGGGUAUGGAGCGAAACGGGAAGUGCGGACGAACUAACAAGCUUUCCGGAUUCGAGCGCGCGGGAGAGCACGAUCUUGAAGAAAUGAGGACUGCUCGGCGGGCUACCGGGAUCCAUCUCCGGCUCGGCACCUCCGCCUUCUCUCCGGCGACGGUGGCGGCUCUGGCGACCCAUGACCGAUCCCCGGCGACCGUGGCUGGCCGACGGACUGACUGCUGAAGAAGGGGAGAGGAGGAAUGGCAGGUUCAAGGAAGCGUGCGCUUUUGUCUUGUACUGUCGGCUUCAGAAAUGGCUUCUCUUCUGGUCUGGUGCCUUUCCUUUCGAGUGCAAAAAUCACAAAAAUAGAAAAAACUCAAACCAUUUCCGACAUGUUUUUCCUAAAUUUGUUUUUGCGCCGUACAACUAAUCUUAAAAUUAUAUCUAUGUGACAUAUUUAGUCUCUGUCAAGGUUUCAUCAAUAAGUACUGUUAAAAAUAGGUCAUAUAUGUAUAAAUGUGAGAAUUUUUAUGUUAUAAGAAAAAAAAACUAGAUAAAUGUGUCAUGAUAGACAUAAUUUGAGAUUUUUGAUGUAAAAAAAAAGUUUAGAUUAAAUGAGUUAUAGUUGGCAUAAUUAAAAUUAAAAAUUUUAAAUUUUUUUGCUGAUGUGGUACUUACAAACCACAGAAAUUUUUUUCUCUAAUAUUAGUGUGUUAGUUGCAUUGGCCAACUUGGUUUUAGCCGAUAGCCUAAGCCACUCCUUAUCUUGGUGCACCUUCUCGAUGUAUUGCUAUGUUAAGAAAGAUCGACACACCCUCUUGGACUUCGUGCCUCCGCAAACGCUUUGAAUAUACUAAUAAGCACAAACAUGUGUCCAUUUCGAAUCGAACGGGAAAAACUUCGAGCUAUAAUUAACAUAAUUAACCAGCAGCAAAACAAACGUAAUAGUAGUACUGUAUCCUCUUAUGUGUUGAAAAGAAUUUGGUUUUCGCAAUAAAUGCGUCUCUUUUGAUCAGCAAUCGUGAUAAUGGAAGUGUCUAAAUAUGGCGAAAUGGGACUGUUUUAGCAACGGCGACAAAAUUAGCCUUUUCUAGUCUUUUCCUUCUGGGAAAUUGAUCUUGUAUAUGACAAUGGGUUCUACUUUGACCCAUGACCUAUGAGCAUGAAUGUAAUCAUGUAAGUGCUAGUCUCAUUUUAAAUAUGGGGAUUUGACUUAAUUGACCAUCCAUAUCAUGGGAGUAGAUCUAACAUAAAUGGAUCAUAUAUGAAUCAUUUAAAUUUGGAAGAGCCUAUUUAAAAUGUAUUUUAAAUUUCAAAGCUGAAAUAAAUGGGUUUAAAUGGUGAGUUUAGAACUCAUUUUCAAUCCACUAGGAUCAACCACACUCUCCCUCCUUCUUUAGCCUUACAAUUAAAAAAAAAAAUCGAAUUUUAUUUUUAUUUUUUCUUUUCUCCUUCUUUUUUCUUCCAUCUUCCUUGGCCGGUGGUUGGCCACAGCAAUGAUGACAGCGAGGGUUAGCCAGGCGAGGGACAAGCUCACCAAUCAAGUGAGGCUGAGGCCUUGUUAAGGUCUAACACAAGUGAGGCCUGAGCUUGCUUGUUUGGCGAGGCUGAGACCUCGCUGAUGUUUGGCCAAUCGUCAUAGUGGCUAGUGGUUAGUCAAAGAAGAAUGGGAAACAAAAAAGAAAGAAUAAUUUAAAAAUAAUUUUUUAAAUAAAUAAAUAAUUUUUUUAUAAAAUAAAAAAGUAAAGGUUAAAAUUAUCAAAAGGAGUGUACAAAGGAAAAUCAAAUUAGGUUUUUCAUACAAAAUGAUAGAAAAUAUUUUUUGAUUUAUUUUAAAAAUUUAGGCAAAUACGAAAAAUAUUUUUAUUUUCCUAGAAAAUAACUUCCUAAAAAAAAUUUCAAAAAAAAAAUAGAGCCUCGCUCUUCUUCUUUUUUUAAAUUAUAAAAAUCCCACUAGAUUAGUAUUGAAUAAAAGUGUUUUAGCAAUACGAUUUUAAAAAAAAUUAAGAAACAAGCUUUUCUAGAUUUUGGAGUAUUUUAGUAAUAUAUAUAUAUAUUAUUUUUUUUUAACAUAAGAAUAAGUUUUCCAAAAUUGAGUUAAUAUGGAAAUAUUUUAACAAUACAAGUCAAGUUAGAUAUGAGUUAAGUAUAGAUAUAGGUCGGGUUAGGUAUAGAUAAGAAAAUUUAAAUUAUGCAUAAUUGGGUCAUAAAUAGAUUAAUGGAUUAAUUUGGUCGAACCAUUUAUGAUCCGACCCAAACCAAUCUCACCACUCAUUUUGCAGGUCUACAUGGGAGAUUCAGAUGGAAAGAUAGGCUCGCGUGGGCAGGGUUGAUGGUACGUUUUGAGUCCGAACCGUUCGGCAAUUGUCGGGUCAAGCGUGGUCACAAAUUCCAAGCCCCAUCUUGGCACCUCGCCCUGGGAAGAGGAGGCCCUUCUACUAGGAGAGCUUGGGACCAGGGAUACGUUUGGAUGUUCGGCUUCGGUCGACUUCGCAGUCGUCUACCAGCAAAGCUGGGCUUUGAUUGACUCAAGCCCGCACUGCCUGCCCAUUGAUUAAGUCCAGCAUCAAAGCAUGGAAAUUCAUAGCAAGUAUUUUUGCCCCUUUCUCAGUGAAUUGUUGAUGGUGAAAUCAGGGUAAGCAACCCAUAUGAUGGAGGAGGAGUUACAUUAAGAGCCAAAAGGCUUCUGCAAGGUUUGAGAGAGAGAGCUUGCUUCGGGCAAGUACCGAAUGUAAAUGAACUAUUUUAGAGGUGAUCAGUUCUAAGGUGGGUCUUCCAAAGUUAAAAUCUGAAACCUACCAUGUUAUAACCGGUUUCCAAUUUUUGGACCUCGAACUUAUCGUAUUUGCCUGGAACUGAUUUUGACACCUAUAUUGUUUUUCUAGUCUGAUUCUAGAAUCUAUUCAAGAAUCUGUUUGAUUUUUUAUCCCUAUUUUUUGUUCAUUUUUUACAACAAAAUCAUAUGAGGCUAUAAGUAAAGAAAUGAUUUAAAGUAAAAGAUGAAUAAUGGAAAUCAUAAUCUAUCAAAAAUAACAAUUCAUAAGAUGAAUACGUAAUAGCCGCAUACAAUUAUAAAAGAUAAAAAGUUCAAACACAUAACGUAAAACAUUAAUUAUAAAAAUUCAUUCCCCAUUCAUCACUAAAAAUGUAGGUAAAGAAGAAGACUCGCGAGGAAUUCUAAGAAAGGACAAAUGAUGAAAGAGUGCUGAUGUUAAAAUUUAGGGAAAAAAGAAAUUAGAAUUUUGGCUUUUUAAUUGAUAAAACCGGUUUCAAAAUAAGGCGAUCCAGUCUAGUUCCCAUACGAGUAUUCAUUCGAAACUUGCUUUCGGACCAGUUAUAAUCGUUUGUAAGAUAGAACUAGUUUACUUGCACACCCCUAUUUAGCAUCGCAAAUGCACGUUUCUGAUUAUGAAAGACAGAGUAAUCAUAUGCAUCAUCUAUCUACGGAAUAAUCUAUCUCAGAAGCAAUUUUAUCGAAUAUUAUCACACGAAAAGUGGAGUCCCCUUUCGUAUUUGAAGACUAUGAGGUGACCGUGCCCAACCGAGUAAUGUUCCAUAAAUUCCCGCCACCCCUUCUGCAGCCAAACUGUGCCGUUGUUGCACUUCUUUAGUUCUAUAGGCCAAGUUGAACCAAGUGGGACCUUGAGAAACGCCAAACUCGAAAGAUGGUUUCCAUAUUUCCUCAAGAACCUUCGUGGAAUUCCCUGUUAUAUGAUGAGCUUCAGGGGUCAUCUCGAGGCCCUCGUUCAUCAUGCAAAAGGAACUUGCAAAAAGCUAAGAAAUGUUCCGUUCUACGGAUUCGAACGAAAGAUCGAUUACCAUGGACAUAAAGCUUGAAAUACAAAGCAUUAUAUGGAACAUAAGGGGUCAAAUCACUUAUGACUACAUUUAACGAAGUGUGCUCUCAUCUGAUUUUCACAUGAACCCCAAGCUUACACCGUACCCACGACAUAGUGAGAAGACAUCUCAUGCAUGCAGUCCACUCAAAGCAGGAUCACUAGCUAUUUCUCCUCCCAAAACCAAGGAAACAUUCUUGGAUGAACAGAAAGUGUGUGAAAUUACGAGAAGUGAAGCCAUGCAAAGUGUGUGAAAUUUCGAGAAGUGAAGCCAUGCAUGCAAUGUAAAAUGGAACAUUGGCAAGAGAUGGUGGAGGCAAAGUUGAGAAUGAGUUUGAACUCACAAGCUUUCCAGAAUCAAAGUGUGUCGGAGAGUAUGAUCUUGAAGAAGUGAGGGCCAGCACGUUCACCCUCUCUCUCGCGGCAGCAACAACGGCAGCAAGCCAUGCAGCAGCGACACUGAAAGCUCAAAGAAGAAGAUGAAGGAGGGGGAGGGUGAUGAUGAGGAGAAUGACGGUGGUUUUGGGUUUCUACACGAGCCUGUUGAAAUGGCUUGCGUGGCCUUUGUUCUUGACAUGACUGUUUAUGAAAGUGUUGAUGUGAAGUAAUGGAUAUGGACACGUUGCUUUGUUAUUUAUGCUCGAGUAGCUCGACGACAGUAACAAUUUAUUAAACUUUCCCGGGCAAAAAAAUUACUAAUUUUGCUCUAAGAGAACGAUAGAAUGUAAUAUUUCGUACUUGACAUUUUUUUCGAUUACAUAAUCAUUUUUAUGUAAAAUGAUUGCGGUGAUGCUUCUAAAGCAUCACACAAGCUGCCUUUCCUUCUUUUCUUUCUUCUUGCCCUGUUUUUCUUCUAGCCCAUCCAUGAACUGCUCUCAUGAACGUUCUGAUUCAAGUAGAUUUUACAUUCACCUGAUUUGCAGUUCCCGGGAAACAAAGAAGAUUUAUGCGAGCAAGCAGAAGUGAGCUUCUUCCAUGAUUUUAAAUCAAAGUAUUAGAUAAAAGGAAGCACGAACUAGUAGUGUUCAGUAGUUCGUUUCUCGACUUCCUCUCAGCGCCGAAAACAGCCUAAAGUGACACUUUCCGCUGUUAGUCUCACUCAAUGCAAAUCACUUCCUUAUUCGCACUACUGAAGACGGAGACCCUGAGCACGAUAUUGUCCCUAUCGAGGAGCUCGAACAUGCAGACAUCUCCUUUGCGCAGGUGAGCUUCUCUUGCCAACGCGGACCAACCGACCCCCAAGAAGGCAAUGUAUAAGUGCCGAUAGACCCGGAGAUUCACCUCAAACGAUCGGCCCAAAUAAACAACAUUCACCAUUUGAUGGUCUUUCUGAAUGUAUGUCUUUAUGAACUGCCAUGGAAUGGUCUGCUCACGGUGGUUUGAUGACGAACCAAUGUAUGAUAAGAAACGGGCAUAAUAUAAGCAUGCGAAUUCAAGAGCGAAGCAUAGAAGAUUUAGAUAAGUAAGACCUCUGGCUUACCACGGUUUGUCUUUUAAUAUGACUUGGCGAUAUCACGACAUUGCAAAAUGGAUACUCCGAUUCAAAUUCGCAAGCUCUUUCAUGAGCAAUGACAGGGCUCAGGCAUGGAGAAGUGUGGAAAGCUGACUCCGAAGGGUGCUCUUGGCAUUGAGAUUGUUCGGUUUGGAUCUGACCUGCAAUACAAAGAGGCGAAUUCUUGUAAGCACAAGUAUGAACUUUUCAUGAAUUGACCAUGAAAGGAUUUAGCAUGGAUUGCAAAUCAUUAUGCAGGGUCGUUUUCAUGCUCUUCCUAGAAGAUGUAAUCAAGUAGAUUUUGCACUUCCCAAAUAAUUAUCCCGUAAUAGGUUUUUUAGGAUUGGAAAACAGAUUAAGAAUAGAAAGUACAUAGGCAGAAACAUUUCUUAUAAAGCAGCAACUGACUGACACCUGCAAAUUUAGAUGCGAAUGUGACGUCAUCAGCAAGUGUGCAUUUGAAUUAUUACAAACCUCACAAACCAUACAGAAGAAUUCAUCAUCUCGGAAGGCUCAUAACUUAAGAACAAAAAACAGAUAAAAAGUGCACUUUAAAUGGAUUCAUCACUGCUGAACUGAACAACGGAGUGGCAAUUUGGGAUACUGAGUUCCUCGGUGAUUUACACGGCAUACAAUGAAACCUCUAGUGUUCAUCUCAAUCGACAUAGAUCAGGUUCUUACCAUCACUGCGGAAAAUGGAGACUCUGAAGACAAUGUCAUCCCUAUCAAUGAGCUCGAACACACAGCAAUCUCCUACAAGAAGAUCAUUUUCUCUUGCGAAUGAGGACCAACCAGUAGAGAGACAUGCUGUAUGUUCAUGGGUCCUUAGCUUCACCUGCCACGAUCUGUCUGAGUACCUAAGAGUUGCGAUUUGCUUGUUCUUUUGAACAUGCUUGAUGAAGAAUUCACGAGGGAUGGUCUGCCAAUAGGUGUUUGAACAACCAGUAUACGAUUAACGAAGGCGAUACAAUAAGGAUACAUGAUAUGUGAAUUUAUGAUAAAAUUUCUAGUUUCAGGAGUUUUAAUCAACUGAUUUUACUUGCUAAUGGAAGUCAUCAAUCGUAACCACUUAACCUGCAAUUUCGUGUCUAAUAUAUGCUCCUGGACUAAUGCUGAAGCCAUCAAUUUGGAGCCAAGUUAUAGAUAGGAUUUGCAUCUCAAUUUGACUCCUACCAUGAACACUACAAGGAAAAUAACAUGCCAUCUGGUUUCCUACACAAACUAAUUCGACUUGGCAAACACUAUAAUAUAUGACAAAAUACAAACAGUGAUCACAUUUGAAUUCAACCUAUGCCACCAACAAAUAGAGCUCAGGAUCUUACCAAAGAUUUCCGAACAUAAGUAGGCUGUAUCACCACUUUGAAAAAGGGAUGGUCCGAUUUGAAUUCGCUGGCUAAUUCAAAAGCAGCGAGAUGACUUGGAACUGCAGAACCAUGAAAAACCAGCUCAAGAUGACUUACUCUACAUUGAAACUGCUUGAUUUCGUCUGCACUUGUGAAAUGAGAACUGCACUAGAUUUUAUCAAUUAACUGACUAUGACAUUUGCAUCGAUGGAAAAAAUAAUAUGAUCUAUAGUUUCAAGAUAAAGAUAACUUGAUGUAGUAAAUUCAUCAUCACCUUCCAAUUAGAAGUAAAUAAUUAACUAAAAUUUCCACAGACUUUAUCAAUUACAUAUAAAAAUAGCUUAUCAAAAAGUUUGGAAGAAAAUGAAAACGACAAGAACUGAGGAAAGAGAGUUAUGCCAAGAAGGAACAUGGCGCAGAACACAAGUCACACCUCCAUAUUCUCGAGACGACCUGUAUGAACUUGGCUGUGAACAAGGCACGGAACCCUCUGAAUCUUUGAUUUCCACGACAUCUUCCUCUUUUCGCGAGAGGAAUUCCUCCUCAGGGCUUGACAUAUCGCUUUCGAUGCUCGAUGGAUAAUCAAUCUCCGAAGCACUCUUAUCGAAUAUUAUCACGUGGAAAACGGAGUCCCCUUCGUACUUGAAGACUAGGAGGUGACCAUGACCAAUCGAAUAAUGCUCCAUGAAACCUCGCCACCCUUUCCACAACCAAACCUUGCCAUCGUCACUCUUUUCUAGCUUCACUGGCCAGGUCGAACCACCCGGAACCUUGAGAAGCACCAAACCCGAGAGGUCUUUCCCAUAUCUUCUCAAGAAGCUUUUUGGGAUUCC
rnacentral:lncRNA from 1 species